rnacentral:tRNA from 1 species
ACCCCACAGACCAGCCCGGCCUCCGGAGCCGUGUGCGCAGGUUCGAAUCCUGCCGGGGGUA